GGAUGAGUCACAAGAUGCGACCCCCUCCAUAGCCCACCCGAAAUUGGAGGAGGGCAACGAAGAGCUGCCGAGAAUCCGAGUGGGGGAGGGAAGAGAUGGAGUGGCGAACAAGACAUGGGAUUCCAACAGGAGCAGUAGAGCUGGUAGUGUGAACACCAGGGAAGCUCUCCUGAAAUGCAGGGGGGCUGGUGUGUGGCUUCUCCUGACUUCUCCAUCCCUGGCCCUGCAAUCAAGCAUGGGAGCCAGGAGUCCCAGAAGCCCUAUAGUGCCGUGGGGUAAGUGCCCAGACUCUGGAACCAGGCUGACUGGGUUUGCAUCCCACCUCUACCACUUACCAGCUGUGUGACUACAGCGCUUGGCUUUGCUCUCCUGUGUGGACUUCAUUCUUGGGAUCUACAUGAAAGCAAGAUAUCUGCCAGCAUCUCUAGGCCAACAUACUCUGUGGUCGGAGUCCCACAGAAAAGAAGAGAGCUUCUCUUCCCCAGUGCAGCCAGUCAGCAUCCUGGCUGGUUCUCAUUGGCCUGGUUUGGGACCCCUGCUAAGCUCGGAAUCAGUCGCUGAAGACAGGGGGACACAGUGCUCUGACUGGCUAAGGCUGAGUCACUUGCCUACCCCCAGAACUGGAAGUUUCCUAGACUGUAAACAGGGAUAGUAAGAAGAACUACUCGUGUGAGGAUUGAACAAGGAUAAAGGGCUUAGCAGAUGCGUGGCACAA
rnacentral:lncRNA from 1 species